rnacentral:lncRNA from 1 species
GCACGCCUGGGUACCCAGUGGGGUGAUGGGAGCAGCCCGGCAGAAGAGGGACUCUGUUGUUGAAGAGGUAUCUGUGACCCAAGUUCUUUGCCUCUGUGACACCUUUCUGUCCCGGUGAAGCUUUUCUCAUGUAGAUGUGGCUUCAGUCCGUAGGAAGAACUCAGCAGCCCUUUGAAACUCAGAAUUGCAGAUGGCCCUCCGGACUAGUUCGAGCCAGCUAAGGGCCGGCAAGUUGCGAGAGUAUCAAUGCUAAGAAGCCCAUGCAUUUCUAAGGUCACUGGCCAGACCCUACUUUGCUUCGGCGUGUCUGCUGCAGAGAUGCAGGGCUCUCAGUGUUUGCCCUCCCCUUCUGGUACCUGCGGUGAGCUCAGUCCCUGGACGUGCACAGCCCACAGCACUCAGCCCAAAGUCCGUGUGAUUACUCACCUCCAUAAAAUGACGUUUCUCCUGCUUGGCCUCCACAAGAAGUUCUCCUGGCUGAGUUUUGUCCUCUGCUGUGGGUGUAUGGGAGGAGAGCUCUCCUUCGGCCGCUCUCUCUGCAAGUCCUGCAGAUUUGCUUUUCUCUCCUCCUGGCUGCAAGCUGAGGUUUCCAGUGUCUGUAGGAGCAAUAACCCAUUGCAGGAGACACCCCAAGCUGGCAGUGUCACACUUUGAUUCUUUUGCUUUGAAAGGAUUUUAAUGUGUUUUUAGUAAAAGCCCCAAAAUAGAGAGCUGGCCCUGGCGUUAACUACGACAAAGGUAUGUCCUUUUACAUUCCCAGACCAGUUUCAAACUAGUAGGGUGGAUAGUGAGAGGACAAAGGAUGGAUAGGACAAGGGGGAAUGGUUUUAAACUGGGACAGGGAGGUUUAGGUUGGAUAUUAGGAAGAAGUUUUUCACCCAGAGGGUGGUGACACACUGGAACAGGUUGCCCAAGGAGGUUGUGGAUGCCCCAUCCCUGGAGGCAUUCAAGGCCAGGCUGGAUGUGGCUCUGGGCAGCCUGGUCUGGUGGUUGGUGACCCUGCACAUAUCAGGGGGGUUGAAACUCGAUGAUCAUUGUGGUCCUUUUCAACUCAGGCCAUUCUGUGAUUCUGUGACAUGCUUUCGGGAUGCUGUGCAUAUGUUCCAGUUUCCUCACCCCAAUGCAGCACUGGGACAGCUGUGAAGCUCCUCUGCAGCAACCUCCAUCUCUGGGCCUGCACAGGGUACGGCCUGCAGAGGGCCUGGCUGGAGCUGCACUGGGGGCCUUCCACCCAUCUCCAUGGUCCUCUCCUGUUGGGGAGGAUCCAAUAAAAGGAUCAGGCUGUUCCUUCACAUUAUCACACUGUAGUGAGUGGGCAAACACUGCUGUUCUCAUCUUGCCUUUACCUCUGAGAUCACCAGCAGCUGUUUCAUUAACUAUUAAUGGCCUGCUCAUUAAUGCUGUAAAAGGCUACGACCAAUCUUGCAAAUUUUCUGGACUCUUCCCCUGAAAUAUUUAUGACUUGCUCGCUGUGCAAAAGGGCAGGAGCAACAGCAGUGAACAUGCCUCCAAGUUUUGUUGAGCAUUAUUAAAGAGCUCAUGAAUAUGAAGAAGUUGGCAGCUUCUCUCUUUUCUUUGGCUUUCUGAGCUCGCACUGUGUCUGGCUACAGUGGCACAGGCUGCCUGUAGCACGCGCUUGCUGCAGUGCUGCUGGCUCAGUUGCUCCCUUGGUGCCCAUAACUCCAGGCAACACAGCAGCUUCAUAGCUGGGCUGACCCACUCUAGUGUCUGCUCUUAAGAGUUUUGGCUGCUUUGCUUAUGAUCUGUAGGUCCUGUAGUGCUUUUUUGCACAGUCCUUUACAAAAUCCAAGGUGUGAAAGUUCCAUCCAGAAGAGGUUGUGUUACUUUUGCUUAAUAGAUGGGGAAACUGAGGCACAAAUGUUGAAUAAUUUGUAACCAAGCAAUGGGAAGCUAGCAGAGGAUGGAGAUGUUUUUGCCAAAACCGUCAUGGUAUUUUUGAUUAAAGUCUGGUUAGUGUGAAAGAGGGAGGAUUCAGGCCAGGGAAUAUUAGCAGGUUUUCUGUGUGCAUGGAGGAAUUCUCUUGCAGGAAACCUGAGCUUGGUGUCAAGUGACCUUAUAUCUCCUACUUUCUCCCACUGCUGUUUUCUGCUCAGGUUUAAUGUGAUGUGGAGCCAUCGGGAAACUGAGAUCCCCAUGCCAUAUCCCCAGCAAGCACUGAGUCCCUUUGCAACCACUCCAAGUGGAGGUGCUUUCAUCACCAUUUCUGUUCUCCUUGAGCUUGGAGCUCGAUCUGCUAAUUCAACUCAAAAGCCACAAACUGUGUUAAGCCUGGCUCAGGGAAUCUGUAAGUCAUACAGAGGCACAGAAUGGGAAAGCUUCAGUCCUGGAACAACUCACAAUGGACUCGACUUGUUGUAGGUGGAGGAUUGUGUAGUCUGUCCCAGAAUGUUGUAUUCAUGGCGAGAUUGGAUGGGGCCCUAGGCAACCUGAUCUAGUGCCUGAUUUAGUGAUCAGCAACUCUGGCAGGGAGAUUGGGACUGGGUGAUCUUUGAGGUCCCUUCCAACCCAAGCCACUCUGAUUCUGUGGUUCUGUGAUUCCGUGAACAGAAGGGUGGUGAAACAGAGAUGGGAGCCCCACGAGGCUCCUGGAAGCUGACAGUCCCAUGAGGCUCCCCAAGCCUCUUUGGAAACUGCUGCUCUCAGCCAUUCCCAUCCCAUGCCAGACAAGGCUUCUACGUGAUCAGACAGAUGAGCACUGAACAGUGCUUUCCCUGUGAAGGUGUCAGUUGUUCUGGCUCCACCGGUACUAAGGAGCAGCACGAAAGUUAUUUUAUUUGGAUUUUGGAGAUAAAAUGGUCUUCCUGUCACUUACAUCUACCAGCAGUAAGGAGCUUGUCCGUUAAAUCCCAACUGCAUUCAGAUGGUGGUGC